GGAGAGGUGGCAGAGCGGCUGAAUGCGUCGGUCUCGAAAACCGAUAUGCCUGAAAGGGUAUCGAGGGUUCAAAUCCCUCCCUCUCCG
rnacentral:tRNA from 2 species